AGUCAACAUGCCCAGGGGACGUGGAUAACCUCGGGAAACUGAGGAUAAACCGCGAUAGGUCAUUACUUCUGGAAUGGGUAAUGACUUAAACCUAUAUGGCCCCUGGAUUGGACUGCGGCCGAUCAGGCUGUUGGUGAGGUAAUGGCCCACCAAACCUGUAACCGGUACGGGCUCUGAGAGGAGGAGCCCGGAGAUGGGCACUGAGACAAGGGCCCAGGCCCUAUGGGGCGCAGCAGGCGCGAAACCUCUGCAAUAGGCGAAAGCUUGACAGGGUUACUCUGAGUGAUUUCCGUUAAGGAGAUCUUUUGGCACCUCUAAAAAUGGUGCAGAAUAAGGGGUGGGCAAGUCUGGUGUCAGCCGCCGCGGUAAUACCAGCACCCCGAGUGGUCGGGACGUUUAUUGGGCCUAAAGCAUCCGUAGCCGGUUCUACAAGUCUUCCGUUAAAUCCACCUGCUUAACAGAUGGGCUGCGGAAGAUACUAUAGAGCUAGGAGGCGGGAGAGGCAAGCGGUACUCGAUGGGUAGGGGUAAAAUCCGUUGAUCCAUUGAAGACCACCAGUGGCGAAGGCGGCUUGCCAGAACGCGCUCGACGGUGAGGGAUGAAAGCUGGGGGAGCAAACCGGAUUAGAUACCCGGGUAGUCCCAGCUGUAAACGAUGCAGACUCGGUGAUGAGUUGGCUUAUUGCUAACUCAGUGCCGCAGGGAAGCCGUUAAGUUUGCCGCCUGGGGAGUACGGUCGCAAGACUGAAACUUAA
rnacentral:rRNA from 1 species